UCGUCAGCUCGUGUCGUGAGAUGUUGGGUUAAGUCCCGCAACGAGCGCAACCCUUGCCUUUAGUUGCCAGCAUUAAGUUGGGCACUCUAGAGGGACUGCCAGGGAUAACCUGGAGGAAGGUGGGGAUGACGUCAAAUCAUCAUGCCCCUUAUGCUUAGGGCUACACACGUGCUACAAUGGGUGGUACAGAGGGCAGCCAAGUCGUGAGGCGGAGCUAAUCCCUUAAAGCCAUUCUCAGUUCGGAUUGUAGGCUGAAACUCGCCUACAUGAAGCUGGAGUUACUAGUAAUCGCAGAUCAGAAUGCUGCGGUGAAUGCGUUCCCGGGUCUUGUACACACCGCCCGUCACACCACGGAAGUUGGGGGCGCCCGAAGCCGGAUUGCUAACCUUUUGGAAGCGUCCGUCGAAGGUGAAAUCAAUAACUGGGGUGAAGUCGUAACAAGGUAACCGUA
rnacentral:rRNA from 1 species